rnacentral:tRNA from 1 species
UGUGUUUUAGUUUAUAAAGAAUAAUUGUUUUUGGUGCAGUUGGAUUAAAUACAA